rnacentral:rRNA from 1 species
CAGCAGCCACGGUAAUACGUAGGGUGCGUGCGUUGUCCGGAAUUACUGGGCGUAAAGAGCUCGUAGGCGGUUUGUCGCGUCGUCUGUGAAAUUCUGCAGCUUAACUGUAGGCGUGCAGGCGAUACGGGCAGACUUGAGUACUACAGGGGAGACUGGAAUUCCUGGUGUAGCGGUGAAAUGCGCAGAUAUCAGGAGGAACACCGGUGGCGAAGGCGGGUCUCUGGGUAGUAACUGACGCUGAGGAGCGAAAGCGUGGGUAGCGAACAGGAUUAGAUACCCGAGUAGUCCCUGUCUCUUAUAC